rnacentral:rRNA from 1 species
GACGAACGCUGGCGGCGUGCUUAACACAUGCAAGUCGAGCGGUAAGGCCCUUUCGGGGGUACACGAGCGGCGAACGGGUGAGUAACACGUGGGUGACCUGCCCUCAGCUCUGGGAUAAGCCUGGGAAACUGGGUCUAAUACUGGAUAUGACUCCACGGUGCAUGUCGUGGGGUGGAAAGCCUUGUGCGGCUGAGGAGGGGCCCG